rnacentral:rRNA from 1 species
AUUGAACGCUGGCGGCAUGCCUUACACAUGCAAGUCGAACGGCAGCACGGGUGCUUGCACCUGGUGGCGAGUGGCGAACGGGUGAGUAAUACAUCGGAACAUGUCCUGUAGUGGGGGAUAGCCCGGCGAAAGCCGGAUUAAUACCGCAUACGAUCUACGGAUGAAAGCGGGGGACCUUCGGGCCUCGCGCUAUAGGGUUGGCCGAUGGCUGAUUAGCUAGUUGGUGGGGUAAAGGCCUACCAAGGCGACGAUCAGUAGCUGGUCUGAGAGGACGACCAGCCACACUGGGACUGAGACACAGCCCAGACUCCUACGGGAGGCAGCAGUGGGGAAUUUUGGACAAUGGGCGAAAGCCUGAUCCAGCAAUGCCGCGUGUGUGAAGAAGGCCUUCGGGUUGUAAAGCACUUUUGUCCGGAAAGAAAUCCUUGGCCCUAAUACGGUCGGGGGAUGACGGUACCGGAAGAAUAAGCACCGGUUAACUACGUG